rnacentral:tRNA from 1 species
GAGGGUAUAGCUCAGUGGUAGAGUGUGUGCUUAGCGUGCACAAGGUCCUGGGUUCAAUCCUCAGUACCUCCA